AGAGACAGCAGGAGAGACACCGGCCAGCAGGAGGCGCUCCGAGGCUGGGAUGCACUAAUUCCCAGCCAACCAGCAGGAGGCGCUGCGGUAGUGAGAGCACAAACUGUUACAUGGGGAUUAUCCAAAGUACCGGCUCCAUGUCAGAGAGAGAAGACAGCUGAAAAGUGUUGAAAAUAGCUACUAGAAACAGACAGUUGUGAUAUAUACUGAUUUAUGGCAAAAUAUAGGAGGGUUAUCACUCCUGUAGUUUUUCAAGACUAUUGCUCAUGAAUCUGCCUCUUUCAUGGGAUUUUAUUAUCAUGCUAUUUGCUAUAACCUAAAUAACUGAAUGAAACAAUUGUCUUAUUUAGUGUGUUUAAUAUAUACAUGCUGCAGCAAUAUUUAGCACUAAGUAAGAGCAUUCCACCCUUUGGACAAACAUGGCACCAGCACGCUAA